UCCUACGGGAGGCAGCAGUGGGGGAUAUUGCGCAAUGGGGGCAACCCUGACGCAGCAACGCCGCGUGAAGGAAGACGGUUUUCGGAUUGUAAACUUCUUUUGUCAGGGACGAAGAAUGACGGUACCUGACGAAUAAGCUCCGGCUAACUACGUGCCAGCAGCCGCGGUAAUACGUAGGGAGCAAGCGUUGUCCGGAUUUACUGGGUGUAAAGGGUGCGUAGGCGGCUUUGUAAGUCAGAUGUGAAAUCUAUGGGCUCAACCCAUAAACUGCAUUUGAAACUAUAGAGCUUGAGUGAAGUAGAGGCAGGCGGAAUUCCCUGUGUAGCGGUGAAAUGCGUAGAGAUAGGGAGGAACACCAGUGGCGAAGGCGGCCUGCUGGGCUUUAACUGACGCUGAGGCACGAAAGCGUGGGUAGCAAACAGGAUUAGAUACCCUGGUAGUCC
rnacentral:rRNA from 1 species